ensembl:lncRNA
UGCUGACAGCUGGGACUGAUUUCCACAAACUGUUGUGGUUUAGAGACACAGAGAUGAACGGAUGGCAAAGCAAAAUCCGGAGAAACAGAGGAAAACGGAGAAAUAUUUCUGUUUGGCUGAAAAACAUGCUUCUUGCAAAAACUUCUGACUUGUUUCCACCAAGCUGGUUCGUUUCUGGAAGAUUCUGGACAAACACUCACCUCUCUAACUCACCUGCCUGUCCAACAGCACAAACUCCUCACAGAAGCCUGACCGGUCGGUCCUCCCGUCAUGCUGCUCCCAAGUAAAAAUACUCAUCAGCAC